GACGAACGCUGGCGGCGUGCUUAACACAUGCAAGUCGAACGGAAAGGCCCUGCUUUUGUGGGGUGCUCGAGUGGCGAACGGGUGAGUAACACGUGAGUAACCUGCCCUUGUCUUUGGGAUAACUUCAGGAAACUGGGGCUAAUACCGGAUAGGAGCUCCUGCUGCAUGGUGGGGGUUGGAAAGUUUCGGCUGUUGGGGAUGGACUCGCGGCUUAUCCGCUUGUUGGUGGGGUAGUGGCUUACCAAGGCUUUGACGGGUAGCCGGCCUGAGAGGGUGACCGGCCACAUUGGGACUGAGGUACGGACCAGAAGCCUACGGGAGGCAGCAGUGGGGAAUAUUGCACAAUGGGCGGAAGCCUGAUGCAGCAACGCCGCGUGCGGGAUGACGGCCUUCGGGUUGUAAACCGCUUUCGCCUGUGACGAAGCGUGAGUGACGGUAAUGGGUAAAGAAGCACCGGCUAACUACGUG
rnacentral:rRNA from 1 species